rnacentral:rRNA from 1 species
UACCAGCACCCCGAGUGGUCGGGACGAUUAUUGGGCCUAAAGCAUCCGUAGCCGGUCAUGCAAGUCUUCCGUUAAAUCCAGCCGCUCAACGGUUGGGCUGCGGAGGAUACUACGUGGCUAGGAGGCGGGAGAGGCAAGCGGUACUCAGUGGGUAGGGGUAAAAUCCUUUGAUCCAUGGAAGACCACCAGUGGCGAAGGCGGCUUGCCAGAACGCGCUCGACGGUGAGGGAUGAAAGCUGGGGGAGCAAACCGG